GACGAACGCUGGCGGCGUGCUUAACACAUGCAAGUCGAACGGAAAGGCCCUGCUUUUGUGGGGUGCUCGAGUGGCGAACGGGUGAGUAACACGUGAGUAACCUGCCCUUGACUGUGGGAUAACUUCAGGAAACUGGGGCUAAUACCGGAUAGGAGCUCCUGCUGCAUGGUGGGGGUUGGAAAGUUUCGGCGGUUGGGGAUGGACUCGCGGCUUAUCAGCUUGUUGGUGGGGUAGUGGCUUACCAAGGCUUUGACGGGUAGCCGGCCUGAGAGGGUGACCGGCCACAUUGGGACUGAGAUACGGCCCAGACUCCUACGGGAGGCAGCAGUGGGGAAUAUUGCACAAUGGGCGGAAGCCUGAUGCAGCAACGCCGCGUGCGGGAUGACGGCCUUCGGGUUGUAAACCGCUUUCGCCUGUGACGAAGCGUGAGUGACGGUAAUGGGUAAAGAAGCACCGGCUAACUACGUG
rnacentral:rRNA from 1 species